CUGCUAUACUGCUGUUGGGACCUCCCCCAACCUAGGUUAAGAUAUAGAUCCUGAGCUCUGACAGUUGGGACCCCAGUUUGCCCUGGAACUAUGAGAUCACUAACAGGAAUAACUGUUCUCCUAACUUUAGGUAUUAUGAGUGAAACUAAGACCACACAGCCAAAUGUAAUGGAGAGUACUGAAGAAGAACCUGUACACCUGCCCUGUAACCACUCCACAAUCAGUGGAAAUGAGUACAUAUAUUGGUAUCGACAGAUUCCCCAACAGAGUCCAGAGUACAUGAUUCAUGGUCUAAAGGACAAUGUGACUAAUGGAAUGGCCACUCUGAUCAUCGCAGUAGAUAGAAAGUCCAGUACCUUGAUUCUGCCCUGGAUUACCCUCAGAGAUGCUGCUGUGUACUAUUGCAUCGUGAAAGAGGCACACUGGGACACAUGGGGCUGCACCUGUACACUAUCUGCCUGGUGGGGGAAGGGAGUCAGGCCCUGCACAAGAAUGAGUGAAACCCAACAGAAGAGAAGUAAAGAAGAAAAAGGGAAAGAAGUAACGAGAAAACAGUGAGAGAGUCAAAGAGGAAAGGAUAAAAAGAACAAAGAUAAUAAGGAAGAAGAGCUUAUGUUAUUAAAGGAUCACUAAAAAGCUUGCAAGGAAAACUGAGAGACACAAUUGUCAACCUGCAACAGAGGGAAAAGGAAAUGAGAAUUUGCCAUAGCUCUUUGUCUUUAUCAAAUGUUGCUUUCUAUAAAGGUCUCCCUAAAGUAGGUGAGAUCAACCAUGGGUUGUCCCAAAGACUUUCUUCAUUCAGACCCAGGGAGGUUCCCAGGCUGUGGAUAUUGUAUCAUAUUAGUCUUUCCAACUCCUUAAGAAUUAUGGGUAUGAAUUUCAGGAACUAAUUUUACUUUGCCCUGAAAAAGAUUUGAUAUUUUCUUUGUUGCUUACCUGGAGCACACACACACCAUUGGGAUACAGACAAUUUGAGGGUAAGGGGUAAAUAGGGACAAAUAUGUAGAUGUUAAUUUUGUUUUUAGGAUUUAUGCUGAAAUAUUAUUAUUACACUAAAAAACACAAAUCUUUCUCAUUGUAAAAGACUCGAGAUAUGACGUAAAGAUAUAAAGGAAAGCCUCUCCCCACCUCCUCUCCAUUUCCUUUUCAAUUCCUAUGAUAACCCAUUUUGACAGUUUGGACUGUGUCUUGACAAUCACAAUCUUUUUCAUUUAUAAGAGUGACCCAAUUUUCUUACAUGAAAUGGAUCAUAUCAUAUCAUGUGUAUUUUUCUGAAGCUUGUUUUUAUUUUUUAUUUAAAAAUUUUAUUUUUAAGAUAUUUUAUUUAUUUAGAAAGAGAGAGAGCAUACAAGUGGAGAGAGGAGCAGAAGAAGAGGGAAAGAGAGCAUCUCAAGCAGGCUCCCCACUGAGCAAGGAACCCGACAUGGGGCUCGAUCUGACAGCCCUGAGAUUAUGAACUGAGCCAAAAUCAAAAGUCAGGUGCUCAACCAAUUGAGCCACCCUAGCACCCCUGAAAAUGUAUCUUUGAGAGGUAUUCAUACACACAUACACAUGCAUACACACACAUAUGGACUUUAUAGUAUGCUUGUAUAAAAAUUUAAUUAACUUGUACGCUUCCUAAUAUUUAAAUUUUUUACUUCUCUUAGUUCUCAUAAUCAGGAUCAUAAAUCAAAUAUAUACAUACAUAUGAUUUAUAUACAUAUAUUUAUAUAUGGAUGAAUUCUUAGAAGUGAAAUUGCUGGGCAAAAAGAUAUGCCUAAUCUUAUAUUUUUACAAGUGUUGAAAAGUUACCUUCCAAAAUGGCUCUAACAAUCUACAAUGCAAAACACAGUGUAUGGGAAACCUAUUUUGCAUCUUGGUUAAUACUACUAUCAAUCUUUUUUAGAUUUUAGACAACUUGAAAGUA